ACGGCCAUAUAACUUUCAAACAUCGGUUCCCGUAUGAUCACUGAAGUUAAGCAACAUCGAUUAUGGUCUGUACCUAAAUGGGUAACUGCUUGGGAAUACCAGGUGUUGUAAG